rnacentral:lncRNA from 1 species
AUGUGUUUUGGGACACCUUUUGUAUUCAGUCAUUUUUGAAUAUAUAUAUAUAUGUGCUUUGACUUUCAAUGAAUGUCUAUGAAUGUGAUCAAAUUAAAUUAUUUUAAUUAUGAGAUAUGAAAAAUAACUCAUAUUAGUGCUGAGAAAUACUAUGAAUUGCAAUAUCUUCUAGAUGAGCAAGUUGAUAUAUCCUUUAUGUUUGCUAU